UACGUAGGGUGCAAGCGUUGUCCGGAUUUAUUGGGUUUAAAGGGUGCGUAGGCGGCCUUAUAAGUCAGUGGUGAAAGCCCAUCGCUCAACGAUGGAACUGCCAUUGAUACUGUAAGGCUUGAGUACAGACGAGGUAGGCGGAAUUGAUGGUGUAGCGGUGAAAUGCAUAGAUACCAUCAAGAACACCGAUUGCGUAGGCAGCUUACUAGGCUGUAACUGACGCUGAGGCACGAAAGCGUGGGGAGCGAACAGG
rnacentral:rRNA from 1 species